AGGAAGCAGUUCCAGAUGUAGUACCAAAGAACUCAUCCUCGAGCAAUCUCUCAGGGCAAGGAGAGAGCCAGCCCUGUGCAGACGUAGAAAGUUAAAGGCACAUUGUGAGCAAGCAGGUGAUUACAGUCAGUCUCAGUGUCAAAGCAACUGAAUGCUGCCCUGGGGAGCUGUAUUUUACCCCUGGCAGAACUGUAAAAUUCCUUAUUUCAGUUCUGCAAUUACACACGUUUCAAAAGUGUGUUUUCAUUUCAAAGCACAGUGAAAUGAAUUGGAAACACUAAUUUUUUCCAUGGGCCACAAAUCCUGGAUUUUGGCCAGCUCCAAUUGUGAAUUCCUUCUUGUGAAGCAUUUGGUUGUUCUGGGAUAAGCACGGUAGACAGUCUAUGAGAAGCUUAAUAAUUCUGCAUUUGGAGCUCGGUUUCAAUAACACUUGAUAAGUACAGGAUGAACAGUGAGGAAAUACAAAAUAUUUAUUAGCUGCUGAAUAUGUAAGCAUUGUGCAUCUAGUGCACUGAAAGCUGCAAGAUAACAUGGAAAAGAGUAUGUGUAGUCAUGUUGUAUUAUCAUGCAUAUUUAAAGAGUGGAAUUAAAGUUGCACAGAAAAUUUUAA